AAGACACUAGUAAAACACAUUACAUUGCCUUGUCGAGGCAAAAUUGUGGGUUAAAGCCCCGCGUAUCUUA
rnacentral:tRNA from 1 species